GGCUCUCUCUUGGCAACGUUUUUUUUAAGUUUGGAGUCAAUUAAGAGGGAGGUGUGAAGUGUGCUGCCACCGACACUCAUACGGGUUUUCGUGGGCUUGGAACGUUUGUUUUUCUUUUUGGAUGAGGAAAUUAAACAGAUAUUGUUAGACUGGUGAUUGAGGAGCUGGAUGCUAAUCUCAAUUUGUUUUUUUACUCAUUGCCCCCUUUUCAUUUUUGGUUCAUGCACUUUUUGAUUGAAUGUUUCAAUCCAUCAAUGUCACGUGCAGCAAGGAGAAGCAGCCACUUGUUUUAGGCUUGGCUUUUGAACGUUUUUUUUAGGAGGGAGCUUGGAACGUGUUUCAGGUAGAAUAGUGUUUCAGGAAAGAAGAACACAUGUAUUAAUUGGAGAAUAGUGUCUCGGCCAGCGGUGCACAAUGUGCUUGUCACGGGUUGAUGAUGAUGGGAUGGGAGAAGUAUAUUUCAUUUUGGUACUGCAGGGAGAACGAAGGGGGAACACCUUUUAAUUUUAAUUUCAAUUUAGAAAAGGCACAUUGGUAGUGUGGUGUGUACGACCGAGAGUGGGAUUUGGAAGAAAAGAGAAUGGUUUUUGAUUUAAGCAAGGAGCUCAUUGAUUUGAUGGGAGUAGGGAGUGGGAGCACAAGGUGUCACGGCCUGGCUGGAGGAAAAGGGGGAUGAUUCAUUUUUCUAGAGAAUAGGAUGCAGUGGUUUAUGGAUAAAGGGGUGUGCACGGUGAUGGGACACGGUCAAGGCUAGAAAGUUUUAUUUUUUUUUUUUAGUUAAUCAUUGAAUGAAAACGGUGCAGAGGUGUGGGAUUUUUAUUUGGGAAAAGCAAUGCAGCGAGGGAGAAAAGAAAGAAGUGCUGUCACGGCAUGGAGAGGUGCACACGGUUUGUUCCAGAAGGUUUCCUGAUUUUCCUUCUUCUCCUUGCUUCAACUAAGAUACCCAGUUUUUUAUUCUACAUAUUAAGUUGCAUUCAGCAUUGUUUUUAUUUUAUUUCCGCUGCAUUGGGUUUCUAGUGUUAACGCAUUGUGUUUUAAUUUAAGUAGAUGAGUUUUCUUAUUUAUUUAUUGCAUUGCACUUAGUUCAUGCACUUUUACAUUGAAUGUUUUAUUUUAGUGUUUUCAUUUAAUUUAGUUGUAAUGUUAACUUUAGUGACCAAUCGUUUUAAUUAUGUAUUUACAUUUGUGUUUAUAUUCGUGUUUUAAUGUAGUUCAUUUGCAUUCACAAACCAUUCACAAACCCCCCCACUUCGUGUUUGAUCUGAUUCUCGAACCACAUUUGGUCCUUGAGAGACGAUCUAGGAGUCACUUCCUAGUACUAUACUGCAUUCUUUUAUGCAAUCAACUUUUGUGUGAGGUGCGACCCUCUCAUCAAAAUGGUGUUGUUGUCGGGGACCUUCAUAAACCAGUGAACGAGGCAUAUUUUUGCCCUUGUGUUCGUUGUCUCAAUCAAGUAUAUGAAGACUUGAACAACAUCCGUGAUCAUUUGUUCAUCUAUGGAAUAAUGAGAAAUUAUACAGUUUGGACUUGGUAGGGGGAAGUAUUAUGUUUGAAAGCAAGAAACGUAUGGACUGAUAAAAGUUUCACGGAAAUGUUUGAGUUGCUGAAGGAGAUGCUACCAGAAAAUAACACGUUACCUAUCCGUAAUUACGACGCGAAGAAAAUUCUAUGUCCAAUGGGUUUGGAAUACCAAAAGAGACAUGCAUUUCCCAAUGACUGUGUAUUGUAUCAAGAUCAGUAUGCUUCAAUGAAGGUGUGUCCGACGUGUGGUUCGUCACAAUUUAAGAAGAAACUUGAUGGAAAUAACGAUGAACACAAUGAAGGUCCACCGACUAAGGUCGUGCGGUAUUUACCUAUAGUACCUAGGUUGAAACGAUUCUUUUCUAUUAAAGAAGAUGCGAAGAAUCUUAUGUGGCACGUUGAUGGAAAAAAUGUGAUAAUCUUCUUCGACACCCAGCUGAUUCCCCACAAUGGAAGAACAUUGAUGGCACAUUUCCCGAAUCUAGUGCAGAGCCGAGAAACUUAAGACUUGCACUUGCUACCAAUGGUAUGAAUCCUUAUGGCAACUUAAGUAGCAAACAUAGUUCAUGGCCAGUUAUUUUGAUGAUUUACAAUCUAUCUCCUAUGUUGUGCAUGAAGAGAAAAUACAUGAUGUUGUCUAUGAUGAUAUCGGGUCCUAGACAACCUGGAAAUGACAUUGAUGUUUAUCUAAAACCAUUAAUUGACGAUUUAAAAAUGUUGUGGGAAGAGAGCGUCGAGGUCUUCGAUUCAUAUUCAAAAGAAAACUUUCGUUUGCGUGCAAUGUUGUUUUGCACCAUAAAUGAUUUCCCAGCAUAUGGGAACUUGAGUGGUUACAGUGUUAAAGGUCAUUUUGCAUGUCUGAUUUGUGAAGAAAAUACUAGUUAUCUUUAACUGAAGCAUGGGCAGAAAACUGUGUACACAACACACUGAAGAUUCCUUCCUCGAAAUCACCCUUACCGUAGAUCGAAAAAAGCGUUUAAUGGAAGUCCUCAGGAUGAUGUAGUGUGUAGACCACGUAAUGGGAAAGAAGUAUACGACUAGAUGAGGAACAUUGAUGUUUCUUCGGAAAACAUAAAAAGAAGACCGUUGAGAAAAAAAUUUGGAAAAAGCGAUCAAUAUUCUUUAAUCUUCCAUAUUGGUGUAAACUUGAUGUGCGACAUUGCAUAGACGUGAUGCACGUUGAAAAAAAUGUAUGUGAUAGUGUUGUUGGGACUUUACUAAACGUUAAUGGAAAGACAAAAGAUGGAGUGAAAGCACGACAAGACCUGGUUGACAUGGGAAUCCAUUCUGAAUUACAUCCGGUGGAGAGACUUCAAGACGAGAAUGACACUUCAAUACGUCUUUGGCCCUAAACAGAACGACACUCCCUAUACAAAUAUAAAAUAAUUGAGGAGGAGUGGGUGCAAUUUAAAGAAUCUAGAGUUACUCCUGAGUGGUAGGUGAAAAGGAUAGCCGCCCAGCAAAGACAGAAGAUUAAUGAUACACCACACGUACUGUCACGUGGUGGUUAUGCGUUAUUAGAGAAAAAGAUGAGAAAACGUCGCGCUGAGAGGUUAGGUCUUGAGUCACCUGAUCUAGCACCUCCACCAGCCAGACACGAAUUGUGGAAGGCUACACGGACGAAGUCCAAUGGCCAGUUUACAUCCCAGUCUACUCAGGAGAUAUCCUAGAGAAUUGAUGACUUGGUUGACCAACAGAGUCAAGGCACAUUUGUAGCACAAGAUAGGGAGGACCUCCUAGUAGCAUCAGGUAACAAGUGCAAGUCGAAUUAGAGGAAAGCAUGGGUGAACGUUUUAGAAUGCUCGAAGAAAAACUUGCGAUGAUCACCCACAACAACAACAACAACAACAACAAGAGCAACAACAACAGUCACAACAGGAGCACGCCCCUACAGAUGAUGCUACUGCACCUCGUGUGAGCACCAAAGGCUCAUGCUCUACUCCAGAUCGUACUGAUUACAAUAUUUAGUAUGGGUUUUUGGUUGAUGAGAAUCCUUCGUGCGUAAUGGCCGUGGGACGACAGAUUGUAGGAGGCCAGACCAUUCAUGGUUCUCCUUUAUUGCCCACUCACGCACGAGUAAUGAUUAAUGAUCCAAAAGAGACCCCCAGGCUCGAGUGCUAGUGCCUACAUCUGAAAUCCAAUUCGUGGGGAGGCCUUAGGCACAUUUAUAACUUGGCCUAAGGCUAUGAUCAUGUCAUAUUUUGGCCCACCAGCGGUCUACCGUACUGUGAAACAAGCAAUUGCUCAACUUGUGAAUGAGGCUCAUGAGGAAGUAGAAGACCAUAAUGCUAUAUCCAUAUUGACCUCCAGAUUAAAUAAGUUGAGAAAAGGACCGGUAGAGAUACUGUAGGAGUUAAAAAAAUUUGGCCUCGAGUGCCAUGUUCCAUUGUAUAUUAACUUCGAUGAUGCAUAUGAGAUCAUUGGUGGAGAAAAAAUGCUCAACAUUGCAUGCAUACAACUAUGGUGCAUGUAAGUUUUUUAUUUGUUAU